rnacentral:rRNA from 1 species
AGUGAACGCUGGCGGUAGGCCUAACACAUGCAAGUCGAACGGCAGCACAGUAAGAGCUUGCUCUUACGGGUGGCGAGUGGCGGACGGGUGAGGAAUACAUCGGAAUCUACUUUUUCGUGGGGAUUAAGUAGGGAAACGUACGCUAAUACCGCAUACGACCUACGGGUGGAAGCAGGGGAACUUUGUACCUUGCUGGGUUUGAUGAGCCGAUGUCGGAUUAGCUAGUUGGCGGGGUAAAGGCCCACCAAGGCGACGAUCCGUAGGUGGGCUGAGAGGAUGAUCAGCCACACUGGAACUGAGACACGGUCCAGACUCCUACGGGAGGCAGCAGUGGGGAAUAUUGGACAAUGGGCGCAAGCCUGAUCCAGCCAUACCGCGUGGGUGAAGAAGGCCUUCGGGUUGUAAAGCCCUUUUGUUGGGAAAGAAAAGCAGCAGGUUAAUACCCCGCUGUUCUGACGGUACCCAAAGAAUAAGCACCGGCUAACUUCGUG